rnacentral:lncRNA from 1 species
CUUAAAUCUUUUAGAACCUAAAUAUCAAAUACUUUUCAUUGACACUGCAGAUUUAGAAAUAGAAAAUUUACAUAAUAUAAAAACUAAAAAGAGUCAAAAGAAAUUCUCAAAACAAUAGAAAGGAUAUUUCUUUGUAAGUGGAAACGCCAUUACUAGAACUCAGUCCUCUACUCGUGUUCAUUAAAAAUAAAUGAGAAUAACAAGAAAAUAUGAUGGAAUUCUAUUCAUUUCGAUUGAGUCCCUAAACUGAAGAUUUUGUCCAGUUUUGCAAAGAGUUUUAAAGCGAUCUGUAUUUAAUGCAAAGGAGGGGUGUCAUAAGAGAAGUUAGCGAUGGAUAAAGCGAAAAAGAAGGGAAUUACUUGGGGAGAAGCGGCAAAAAUGGUAGGGGAAAAUUGCAACUCAAGUCUGCUUCGCUUGCAAAUUCCAU